rnacentral:lncRNA from 1 species
CGGGCGGCCUAAGCGUGCACCGGGGAAUUCCACCCACUGAGCUGCGAGCGUGCGGAGGGCGUGUCGCGUUCUUUGGGGGCGCCCGACGUUUGUCCUCCAUGAGGAUGCUCCAAUGCUACCUGGCUCGCUUGCACAGGUGAGGUGGAUGACAGCAAGGCGGCGGAACACAGGCCCAGGGGACCUGGCAGGGCGGUGUGUUCGGCGCGGGCCGCGACCCUCAGGCCCGGCUCGGGCGCCUCCAGCCCUCCGGGGCGACCGAAGGUCAGGGACGGAAGGGGUGCGGCGGGGGGUCCUGCCGCGUCCCCGCACCCUCCCGCCAGCCGUCGAAGCGGCAGGUGUCCCCUCGUCCUACCUCGGCUGGCACCGCGGCCCCCGCUUUCAGGUGAAGGAAGGCGGCUCCUCUUCGACUGCGCGGCGGGUCUCCUCCUUCCCCGUACCGGGACGCCCGAAAGCAGCCGCUCUCUGCCUCAGGUCUGCCACCAGCCCGGUUCCCGCGAACCGGAGGGAGGGGAGCCGCUCCAGGAAGUGACGUCACACCACGUCGCCGCCCCCGAAGGCUCGCGCUACAGUUGUUGGUCCCUAUCUCUGCAGCAGCCAGAACAAAUCUAAUUUCCUCGAGGGGAAUCGAUGGUUUUGUUCCACAGACUUUACUAUUAAAAGUGACUUCCUGAGAAAUGGAGCUACGAUAUCGAGUUUGCCAAGUAGGCGACACAAAGACUUCAAUUCCCAGGAGGCACUGAAUUUAUUGGAAUGACUUACAUGCUGAAGUCUAACAAUGGCUAGUUACUAAUGGAAAGUCCAAGAAUCUAGUAGCUGCUCAGUCCCGUGAGGUUGGGUGUCUCAGCUGGUCUGCGGGAAUCCUGAAGAAAGAAUGGAUGUGCUGAUGGAGGUGGCACUCUCGUAAUCUUGCUAUUUAGGAUCUGUACUGUACUUGCUCUCCUUUGUCACUUUCAUGACAUUGUGAGUCUAGAGAAAGAACCACAGGUGAUCUCUUUCUGGAGCUCUGGGAGGUCAACAAAGCAGCAGCGUGGCGACAUGACACAUGACACUAUCCCCAUGAAUCUGUGACCUCUCCAGCUUCUUACAUUCAGAGUGACAAUCAUUUGAAACUCGUAAUGGCUCUGAGAUGACUGCUGCCAUUGGUUAUUUUUCAUGCUGUGUGGAAAUCCUCCUACUGGGAACAUAUCAAAGUGAUACAAAACUUCCCUCAAAAUUACAUUCAUAGCUUUGGACCUGAGAACAUGAAUGCUGUCCACAGGAAAAGCCUUUGUUCUCCUGAGAAGAAUCUUAUCCAUUUUCUUGGGCUCAGACGGCCAGUUCAUACUUCCUUCUUCUCUGAAUGCAGCUACACUCUGUUGUUUUUAGGUGUCUUUGACUUUCCAAUGGUUAACUUCUGCUGCAUUUUCAAAUAGUACCUGACACUUGGGAGAUUAUUGUGCACUUUAUAUAUAAGGACUGUCUCUGCACUGGGCCUUUAGGAGUUAGCAGGAAUUGUUAAAGGAGGGAGGGUGGUCUUUUUACAUAUAGUGAAAGGCUUGAGAGAGGACACAGCACCAAGUGUGAGGUGUUGAGGGUUAGGGGUUAGGGAACUGAUGGAACUGAAAGGUGUUUGUAGGCUGUCACUAGACAUAGAGAUGAGCUUCUGAUUGUCCUUCAGACUACCUCAAAUGUGACCUUAUCAGUAAUGGCUUCCUGUUCACCCUAGAUGGAAUUCAGAAAGCCACCCUCUAUUGUUCUUGGUUCAUGAAUGUAGGCUGACAUCAUAUUAUAUCAUAGGUGCUUACUGGUUGAGCCUCAGAACUGGACUAUGUAUUAGAUAUCUAUCUGCCCACAAAGCUUUAACACCAAAUAAGGCAUACUCCCCAUAAUUUCAAUUUUUAAAAAUACCUGGUUCUUUUUCCACGUUUACAUUUUCACCAGAUAUUUUAGAUAUUUGUACUUCUAGUUCUAAUUUUUUUCUU